rnacentral:rRNA from 1 species
GAUGAACGCUGGCGGCGUGCCUAAUACAUGCAAGUCGAGCGAACAGACGAGGAGCUUGCUCCUCUGACGUUAGCGGCGGACGGGUGAGUAACACGUGGAUAACCUACCUAUAAGACUGGGAUAACUUCGGGAAACCGGAGCUAAUGCCGGAUAAUAUAUUGAACCGCAUGGUUCAAUAGUGAAAGACGGUUUUGCUGUCACUUAUAGAUGGAUCCGCGCCUCAUUAGCUAGUUGGUAAGGUAACGGCUUACCAAGGCAACGAUGCGUAGCCGACCUGAGAGGGUGAUCGGCCACACUGGAACUGAGACACGGUCCAGACUCCUACGGGAGGCAGCAGUAGGGAAUCUUCCGCAAUGGGCGAAAGCCUGACGGAGCAACGCCGCGUGAGUGAUGAAGGUCUUCGGAUCGUAAAACUCUGUUAUUAGGGAAGAACAAAUGUGUAAGUAACUAUGCACGUCUUGACGGUACCUAAUCAGAAAGCCACGGCUAACUACGUG